rnacentral:lncRNA from 1 species
AAUCCAACACACAGAGUCUUGUAGCAGAUGUCUAGCCAUAAGUGACCUUAAGCUUGUCCCACAUGUUCUCAGUCGUGGAACAACUCUCAAACUCUCCAAUGAGAUUGUUAUGUAUGUAAUACAACAUAGUAUAAUGCGUAGAACGAUCCUUCUGGGACCAUUCUUGGUAUGCAACCAGAUUCUCAUUGUGUUGGUCACUACUGAUAUUUUUUUGUUUAAGUACAGUAGUGGUCAAGAUUUCUAAUACCCCGCGUUCAUUAAGAAGAUAUUGAAUCUUCCUAUGCUAUAUAUCAUAAUUUGUCUCAUCCAACUU